UAGUGCUUGCCUACGAGGGGAGAAGUGUGGCGGGAGGACAGCCAUGGAGACCGCCCACCACUGCGUCCCUUGACCAUCUGCCCACAGCGGGGGCAAAGUCUAAAUCCUUCCGAAACAGAGCAGCGCACCAAAGGGCUAGAAGAAGCAUGCACCAAAACAAUAUGGUUCAGUUCAGGAAGAGCAAGGGGUCUGAGCCCACAGGCCUGCUGGGACUGGAGAACCACAAGUCAACGGGUCACGGGGAAGUUCCCGCCAAGAUGGUGGGCAGGGUCAGAAGGUGGGAAUAAGGAAAUGAAAGCAGAGAGGCAAGAAGCAGGUCACAACCUCUCUCACCUGAGGACUGCUGACAGGCCCGGAGAAUCCUGGGGGAGCCGGAGGGGGCAGGCCGGGGGACCCCAUGGAAGAACUGAUGACCGGGAAGGGGGAGCCCAGUGGAGGGGGUGGCAUUGGAGGUGGCUGCGCUGAAGGGGUCAGAGGUGGGCCAGGAGGAGAGGAGGGAGGGAUCCCCUGGGAAAGGGGGUUUGGAGAGGAGCUGUCUGGGCUUCGGGAAUCUGGGGGGGGGGGGGAGGUACACACAGGCAGACACACAGACAGGAG